UACGAAGGGGGCUAGCGUUGCUCGGAAUCACUGGGCGUAAAGGGUGCGUAGGCGGGUUUUUAAGUCAGGGGUGAAAUCCUGGAGCUCAACUCCAGAACUGCCUUUGAUACUGAAGAUCUUGAGUUCGGGAGAGGUGAGUGGAACUGCGAGUGUAGAGGUGAAAUUCGUAGAUAUUCGCAAGAACACCAGUGGCGAAGGCGGCUCACUGGCCCGAUACUGACGCUGAGACACGAAAGCCAGGGGAGCGAACGGG
rnacentral:rRNA from 1 species